rnacentral:rRNA from 1 species
UACGGAGGGGGCAAGCGUUGUUCGGAAUUAUUGGGCGUAAAGGGCAUGUAGGCGGUUCGGUAAGUUAAAGGUGAAAUGCCAGGGCUUAACCCUGGAGCUGCUUUUAAUACUGCCAGACUAGAGUCCGGGAGAGGAUAGCGGAAUUCCUAGUGUAGAGGUGAAAUUCGUAGAUAUUAGGAGGAACACCAGUGGCGAAGGCGGCUAUCUGGUCCGGUACUGACGCUGAGGUGCGAAAGCGUGGGGAGCAAACAGGAUUA